rnacentral:lncRNA from 10 species
GUCUCCUCUUUCGCCUCCUGCACCUUGAGAGCCCUGGGCUACUCUGUCACAGCCCCUGUUGCCCUGCGAUCUGUAGGUCCUUGGGGACGCAUAGUUAAGGUGCCAGGACAUCCUGGAAGCUGGGAAAUGACCAUGGCUGGAGAAGGAAAGAAGGUGUGUUUUGCCUGAUUCAGGGACUAUAGAGAGAACCAAGUUCUGCAGGCCUGUCAUCUAAGUCUCAGGGCGGGGAGACCUUCCUUCCCCACGGGUUUGAGGCUAUGGCUAAGUGGUGAGCCUUGGUGAGACGCAGAAAGGAUCCAUCCCAGGCACUUGGCUAGAGGCUGAAUGCUAUCCCAGUGAUUGUACGUGCCCUGUUUGCUGAAUCUACUCAUCCUUAAGGGUACAUUUGCUUCCAGGUAACAUGUUUGUGACUAAUACUACAAUGUGCAUAUAUCUAUUCCAUGUUCUGCUUUGUCUGUUUGGGAUAUUUUUCAUACACUGAUUCAGUACCAUGUGUAUUCCCUUGCUUUUGUUGUCUCAUCCGUUGAUGUUACGUCCCCCAAAUUAUUGCCACGACCAGUUGUCAUGAAGCUUCACCCUUCUGUAUUGUGCUAGGAAUUUUACAGCUAUAGGUUUUACAUUAUAGUCUUCAUUCAUUUUUUAAAAUUGACACAUGUAAUUGUGCAUAUUUUGGGGAAACAAUUAUAUAUAUAUGUUGUAUAACAAUAAAAAUCAGAGUACUUCUA